rnacentral:rRNA from 1 species
GACGGAGGGUGCAAGCGUUGUUCGGAAUCAUUGGGCGUAAAGAGAGUGUAGGCGGCUUUUCAAGUCGGGUGUGAAAGCCCAGGGCUCAACCCUGGAACUGCGCUCGAUACUGUUGAGCUUGAAUAUGACAGAGGGUUGCGGAAUUGUCGGUGUAGAGGUGAAAUUCGUAGAUAUCGGCAAGAACACCAGCGGCGAAGGCGGCAACCUGGAUCAAUAUUGACGCUGAGACUCGAAAGCGUGGGGAGCAAACAGG